rnacentral:siRNA from 1 species
UAGCUUUCGGGAUACGGUUGUGGU